rnacentral:rRNA from 1 species
GCCGUGGCCUGCUUCGUGUCGCACUGCGGGUGGAACUCGACCGUGGAGGGCGUGCUGCACGGCGUGCCGUUCCUGUGCUGGCCCUACUUCGCCGACCAGUUCUGCAACCAGAGCUACGUGUGCAACAUGUGGGGCAUCGGCGCCAAGCUCCGGCGAGAUGGGCGAGGGGUCGUCGCAAAGGAGGAGGUCCGGUGCAAGGUCGCGCGGCUCCUCAGUGAUGACGAGGGGGUCAAGGCGAGGGCGGCGGCAUGGAAGGAGGUCGCGUGCGGCAGCAUCCAGGAGGGAGGGUCCUCGCAU